UACGUAGGGUGCGAGCGGUAAUCGGAAUUACUGGGCGUAAAGCGUGCGCAGGCGGUCCGCUAAGACAGGUGUGAAAUCCCUGGGCUCAACCUAGGAAUUGCGCUUGUGACUGGCGGGCUAGAGUAAGGUAGAGGGGGGUGGAAUUCCUGGUGUAGCAGUGAAAUGCGUAGAGAACAGGAGGAACACCGAUGGCGAAGGCAGCCACCUGGGCCUGUACUGACGCUCAGGCACGAAAGCGUGGGGAGCAAACAGG
rnacentral:rRNA from 1 species